rnacentral:lncRNA from 1 species
CUUGAGAAACUUGAGUCUUUUUGAUUCGUUUCUGCAAGGAUUAUCCCAUCUGUUCCAGAGCAUCAUCCUAGGAUCUCAUUAAGUGGUAUCAGAGCAACUCUGGAAGGGAAGUGUUUGUUUUCUCUCUGAUUUUAGAUUUGAUCUCUUCAUAUUCUGUUGUGAUUUUGAUCGAUCUGUGUUUCUAUUGUUGAAAUCUGAUAAAUCUGAGUGUUUUGAUCACGAAUCUGUUGAAGUCUCUUCAUAUACUCUUUGAUUUCGUGUUGAUCUGUGUUUCUUGUGUAAGAAUCUGUAGAAUUAGGGUUGAUUAGAUCUUGUUUUGGGUAUUAGACUGUUCGGAUCCUUGUUGAUCAAGUUCUCUGAUUGUGUUGAUCUAAAUCUGUUUGUGUAAUUCCGAUCUGUUCUUAUUGUUUUAGAUCUGAUCUUACUUGAUCUAAAUCUCAUCAUCUGUUAUCAUAUCAUCUCUGAUCUUGUGUUGUUUGAACUCUUGAAACCUGAUCCGUGCAGUGCAAGUUUGAUUGAUUUCGUUUUUGUUAUUUUUCUUUUGAAAAAUCUGCUCUUGAAUCUGAAAUCGAAAUCUAUCUCUCUAUUUUUGUGGUCUAGUUCGAAAAUCAAUCUGAUCUGUUAGGUUUGAGAUUUAUCAAUUCUGUUCUGAUUAGUUUUGAUUUGUUUUAAAUCAUUGGUUGAGUUUUGAAUUUGUUCUAAGAAUUGUCUAAGGUUUUAAGCUUCAAUUUGAAUCUGUUUCUGGUUUUGCAAAUUGGUUUUUGUUUUCUCUGUAGAACUUGUUACUGCUGUGUGUUGUUUUCUGUCUCAGGUACAAUGGCAGGAGAUCAGAAAGGAAAACUCACUAAGGAAGAAAGGC